rnacentral:rRNA from 1 species
UACGGAAGGCAGCAGUGGGGAAUAUUGCACAAUGGGCGCAAGCCUGAUGCAGCCAUGCCGCGUGUAUGAAGAAGGCCUUCGGGUUGUAAAGUACUUUCAGUCGUGAGGAAGGUGUUAAGGUUAAUAACCUUAGCAAUUGACGUUAGCGACAGAAGAAGCACCGGCUAACUCCGUGCCAGCAGCCGCGGUAAUACGGAGGGUGCGAGCGUUAAUCGGAAUUACUGGGCGUAAAGGGCACGCAGGCGGUUAAUUAAGUUGGAUGUGAAAUCCCCGGGCUUAACCUGGGAAUGGCAUUCAAGACUGGUUAGCUAGAGUCUUGUAGAGGGGGUAGAAUUCCAUGUGUAGCGGUGAAAUGCGUAGAGAUGUGGAGGAAUACCGGUGCGAAGGCGGCCCCUGGGACAAAGACUGACGCUCAUGUGCGAAAGCGUGGGGAGCAAAC